AGUGAACGCUGGCGGCAGGCCUAACACAUGCAAGUCGAACGGCAGCACAAGAGAGCUUGCUCUCUGGGUGGCGAGUGGCGGACGUGUGAGGAAUGCAUCGGAAUCUGCCCAUUUGUGGGGGAUAACCUCGGGAAACCGGGACUAAUACCGCAUACGACCUAAGGGUGAAAGCAGGGGAUCUUCGGACCUUGCUGCGAUGGAUGAUCCCUUGCCGGAUUAGCUAGUUGGAGGGGUAAAGGCCCACCAAGGCGACGAUCCGUAGCUGGUCUGAGAGGAUGAUCAGCCACACUGGGACUGAGACACGGCCCAGACUCCUACGGGAGGCAGCAGUGGGGAAUAUUGGACAAUGGGCGCAAGCCUGAUCCAGCCAUGCCGCGUGUGUGAAGAAGGCCUUCGGGUUGUAAAGCACUUUUGUUGGGAAAGAAAAGCAGCCGGUUAAUACCCGGUUGUCAUGACGGUACCCAAAGAAUAAGCACCGGCUAACUUCGUG
rnacentral:rRNA from 1 species